rnacentral:rRNA from 1 species
UGUCUCAAAGAUUAAGCCAUGCAUGUCUAAGUAUAAGCACUUAUACCGUGAAACUGCGAAUGGCUCAUUAAAUCAGUUAUCGUUUAUUUGAUAGUACCUUACUACUUGGAUAACCGUGGUAAUUCUAGAGCUAAUACAUGCUAAAAACCUCAACUUCGGAAGGGGUGUAUUUAUUAGAUAAAAAACCAAUGCCCUUCGGGGCUUCUUGGUGAUUCAUAAUAACUUAACGAAUCGCAUGGCCUUGCGCCGGCGAUGGUUCAUUCAAAUUUCUGCCCUAUCAACUUUCGAUGGUAGGAUAGUGGCCUACCAUGGUAUCAACGGGUAACGGGGAAUUAGGGUUCUAUUCCGGAGAGGGAGCCUGAGAAACGGCUACCACAUCCAAGGAAGGCAGCAGGCGCGCAAAUUACCCAAUCCCGACACGGGGAGGUAGUGACAAUAAAUACUGAUACAGGGCUCUUUUGGGUCUUGUAAUUGGAAUGAGUACAAUUUAAAUCCCUUAACGAGGAACAAUUGGAGGGCAAGCUGG